rnacentral:piRNA from 1 species
UUCGAAGGAUACAUGACCAAA